rnacentral:rRNA from 1 species
CACGUAGGGGGCGAGCGUUGUCCGGAUUUACUGGGCGUAAAGGGCGUGCAGGCGGCCUGUUAAGUUCAGGGUGAAAGCUCCCGGCUCAACUGGGAGAGGUCCUUGGAUACUGUCGGGCUUGAGUACGGAAGAGGCGAGUGGAAUUCCUGGUGUAGCGGUGAAAUGCGCAGAUAUCAGGAGGAACACCAAUUGCGAAGGCAGCUCGCUGGGACGUUACUGACGCUGAGACGCGAAAGCGUGGGGAGCAAACAGG